rnacentral:rRNA from 1 species
CUUAGAAGCAGCCACUCAUUAAAAGAGUGCGUAAUAGCUCACUGGUCGAGUGACUCUGCGCCGAAAAUUUAACGGGGCUAAACUAUACACCGAAGCUUGGGAUACAUCUAAUGUAUGGUAGGAGAGCGUUCUGUAUGGGGAGAAGUCGUAGCGAAAGCGGCGGUGGACUGUACAGAAGUGAGAAUGCCGGAAUAAGUAGCGAGAAUUAAGUGAGAAUCUUAAUGGCCGAAAGUCUAAGGUUUUUGGAGGAAGGUUCGUCCGCUCCAAGUAAGUCGGGAGCUAAGGUCAGGCCGAAAGGCGUAGCCGAUGCACAUACGGUUGAUAUUCCGUAACCAUCUGUAAUUUAAGCAAAGGGACACUUCAAAAGGGUGUGACCCGGGCGUUGGUUGACCCGGGCGUAAGGGACCGAAAUUAGAGUAGGGAAGCACACUUAGCUGAAGGCGAGAAAAGCUUUGCGUAUAGAAGCAGAUGCCCGUACCGCAAACCGACACAGGUGGACAGGAAGAGAAUUCUAAGGCCAGCGGGAGAAGGGUAGUUAAGGAACUCGGCAAAUUGACUCCGUAACUUCGGAAUAAGGAGUGCUCGAAAGAGCCGCAGAGAAUAGGCCCAGGCGACUGUUUAGCAAAAACACAGGUCUCUGCCAAAUCGAAAGAUGAAGUAUAGGGGCUGACACCUGCCCGGUGCCGGAAGGUUAAGAGGAGGAGUGAGAGCUCCGAAUUGAAGCCCCGGUAAACGGCGGCCGUAACUAUAACGGUCCUAAGGUAGCGAAAUUCCUUGUCGGGUAAGUUCCGACCCGCACGAAUGGUGUAACGAUCUGGGCACUGUCUCAACUACCCACCCGGCGAAAUUGUAGUACCGGUGAAGAUGCCGGUUACCUGCGGCAAGACGGAAAGACCCCAUGGAGCUUUACUGUAGCCUGAUAUUGGGUUUCGGAAAUCUAUGUACAGGAUAGGCGGGAGACUAGGAAACAUGAGCGUCAGCUUGUGUGGAGUCGAUGUUGGGAUACCGCCCUUAGGUUUCUGGAAUUCUAACCUGCGGCCGUGAAUCCGGUCGGGGGACAUUGUCAGGUGGGCAGUUUGACUGGGGCGGUCGCCUCCGAAAAGGUAACGGAGGCGCUCAAAGGUUAGCUCAGCACGGACGGAAACCGUGCCUCUGAGUGUAAACGCAAAAGCUAGCCUAACUGCGAGGGUGACGGCCCGAGCAGUAACGAAAGUUGGAGUUAGUGAUCCGGCGGUAUGUGAAUGGAAAUGCCGUCGCUCAACGGAUAAAAGCUACCCUGGGGAUAACAGGCUGAUCUCCCCCAAGAGUCCACAUCGACGGGGAGGUUUGGCACCUCGAUGUCGGCUCAUCACAUCCUGGGGCUGUAUUCGGUCCCAAGGGUUCGGCUGUUCGCCGAUUAAAGUGGUACGCGAGCUGGGUUCAGAACGUCGCGAGACAGUUCGGUCCCUAUCUGUCGUGGGCGCAGGAUAUUUGAGGAGCUCUGUCCUUAGUACGAGAGGACCGGGAUGGACGUACCUCUGGUGCACCAGUUGUCAUGCCAAUGGCACGGCUGGGCAGCUAUGUACGGAACGGAUAAACGCUGAAAGCAUCUAAGCGUGAAGCCGACUCCAAGAUUAGAUAUCCCAUCGUAUAACGAGUAAGACCCCUUGAAGACUACGAGGUUGAUAGGCUGCGUGUGUAAGUGCCGUGAGGCAUUCAGCUUGGCAGUACUAAUAGGUCGAGGGCUUGACCA